AAGUCGUAACAAGGUUUCCGUAGGUGAACCUGCGGAAGGAUCAUUAUCGAGUUUUGAAAGGGGUUGUAGCUGGCCUUUCGGGGCAUGUGCACGCCUCGCUCAUUUCCAACUCUUCAACACCUGUGAACUAGCUGUAGGUUGGUCUUGAAGUGGGUUCUUGUGAGCCCCUUCGUGCCUUCCUAUGUCUUUAACAAACUCUUAUUGUAUUGGAAUGUCUUUUGUGCUUAUAAACGGCAUAAAUAUAACUUUCAGCAACGGAUCUCUUGGCUCUC
rnacentral:misc_RNA from 1 species